rnacentral:rRNA from 1 species
AGAGUUUGAUCCUGGCUCAGAUUGAACGCUGGCGGCAGGCCUAACACAUGCAAGUCGAGCGGAUGAAGGGAGCUUGCUCCUGGAUCCAGCGGCGGACGGGUGAGUAAUGCCUAGGAAUCUGCCUGGUAGUGGGGGACAACGUUUCGAAAGGAACGCUAAUACCGCAUACGUCCUACGGGAGAAAGCAGGGGACCUUCGGGCCUUGCGCUAUCAGAUGAGCCUAGGUCGGAUUAGCUAGUUGGUGAGGUAAUGGCUCACCAAGGCGACGAUCCGUAACUGGUCUGAGAGGAUGAUCAGUCACACUGGAACUGAGACACGGUCCAGACUCCUACGGGAGGCAGCAGUGGGGAAUAUUGGACAAUGGGCGAAAGCCUGAUCCAGCCAUGCCGCGUGUGUGAAGAAGGUCUUCGGAUUGUAAAGCACUUUAAGUUGGGAGGAAGGGCAGUUACCUAAUACGUGACUGUUUUGACGUUACCGACAGAAUAAGCACCGGCUAACUCUGUGCCAGCAGCCGCGGUAAU